rnacentral:rRNA from 1 species
AUUGAACGCUGGCGGCAGGCCUAACACAUGCAAGUCGAACGAGUGGCGGACGGGUGAGUAAUGUCUGGGAAACUGCCCGAUGGAGGGGGAUAACUACUGGAAACGGUAGCUAAUACCGCAUACCAUCGGAUGUGCCCAGAUGGGAUUAGCUAGUAGGUGGGGUAACGGCUCACCUAGGCGACGAUCCCUAGCUGGUCUGAGAGGAUGACCAGCCACACUGGAACGAGGACAGGGUCCAGACUCCUACGGGAGGCAGCAGUGGGGAAUAUGGCAAAAUGGGCGCAAGCCUGAGGCAGCCAUGCCGCGUGGAUGAAGAAGGCCGUCGGGUUGUAAAGUACUUUCAGCGAGGAGGCGUUACUCGCAGAAGAAGCACCGGCUAACUCCGGGCCAGCAGCCGCGGUAAUAC